GCCCUGUAAAUCCGAUUAGAUGGGUGGAUAAAUGUGGACAAUGCCACAGACAAGCCGCUCUGACAAGCCUGACGGACAGAACGCGCACAAUGGCUCAAAUGUCUCUGCCAUCAACGGGGCGAACAUGCCGAAAGCCGACGAAGAAAACGGCGGCGGCCAUUGCUCCGAUGGAUCAGAGAAUGAUUAUGACCGAUUAAAGGAUUACCCGGAGACCAUUGACUAUUACAGCUUGCUUGCAUUAGCCCGAGACCCUCCGCCGACGGAAGCGCAAAUACGCUCGGCCUACAAAACGUUGACGCUCAGCUUCCACCCGGACAAACAACCCGAAACGCUAAGAGAGGCAGCUACGGCGCACUAUAACAAGAUACGUGACGCAUAUGAGACUCUGUUAGAUCCCAAGAAGCGAGUUGUAUAUGACAUGCUGGGUGAAGAAGGAGUGCGGCACACUUGGGCGGAGGGAGGGCUGAUGGGUAGAAAUGGAUACGCUGAAAGCCAGCAAAUCGGGGUGAAGGCGAUGGAUGAAGCUGAAUUCCGCCGCUGGUUUCUGGAGGCCAUGAAGCGUCGGGAAAGGGCUAUUUUGAAUGACCUAGUGGAUGCUAGUGGAGUGAUUCACCUUUCAGUGGAUGCGACAUCUAUGUUCGAGACUACACCGGACGGAGAUGUCUCGAUACGUGUACCCAACCUGAGGCCAUCAGCGUUUUUACUUGGAUACGCGCUUCCCAUACCACUUCCUGAUCUGUCUUGGUUUUACUCCUCAAAAUCAGCGGCGAAUGGAGAGGGAAAUGAAGAUAGAGAUGAACCACCAACCGGUGAUGGAUUAUCUGCAAAUCAAAUGCCUACUAAGUUGCAACUACAAGCUUCAGUAAACGGUCGUUUUGGAAAGACGGUUCAGACCGUCAAACUUUUAAACCCGGAGACAGGAGAAAAAUUUGACGGACAAAUGCGAAUACCUCUAACGAUUCGCAAUGCGAACGUUAAUUUCGGAGCUACAUUUACACAUGCCAUCAGCAAUGACCCUUCCAGACGAGGAAUCCUCAAAGGGCCGCUAUUAUCGUUUCUCGGUGACGCAGUGGUGACCAUCAAUACUCCUCUUCUGCCCCAACCUCUUGCUCAAGCAAGCAUCAGCAAACUUAUAACUCCGAUAGAAGGAACAAGACCAUUUUCACUCACCGUGAAAUCUACGUGCUCGUCUUCUCCGUUGCUAUGCCCUCCCGAUCUUGGCCUAACAAUAUCACGUAUGGUAGGCGCAGGAGGUGUAGUUACCUGUGACUGGUCAUCAGGAUCGCUUUCAUGGCCAGAAUUCCUUAUGGAUAUUUUCAUGGAUGCUAGCAAACGCGACCAAUACGGGGAAUUUCUGAGAAUAUAUUCGAUGAGUGGCAUUUCGAUCGGAUACACAAGCUUGCCGACAAUACUGCUACCUGCAGACCCACAUGACGAUGAUCACGAGACGGAUGAAGGCGAUAGGGAUAUGCUUUUUCCAGACCAUGACCACAACCACCCCAAGCAGCCUCAGCAGCUGCCGAAGCCCAAUGAGACCUGGGGUUUCAACAUCGGUUCGUCGCCAGCGGGCGUUAGCCUAACCAUGCAAUAUGGACGGACGAUUUUUGCACGGAAGCCGGCGGAGCCAUUACGUUCCGAGUGGAGUAGCGAGGGCUAUUAUCCCAGCAAAAGUCGGAGUGGCAGCGGUGCCAUACGGCUAGGACUUCGCGUGGUGAUUGAGAGUGACCUCAGCAUGGGCUGGUCCCUGUCUGGCUCACGGAGAGUUGGCGAAUUCACCCGCAUGGGAUUGACAGUGUCUACAAUUGGCGGCAUGGGGCUUGGUUGCAGCGUCUCAUGGAGUAGAUUGGGGCAAACCUUCAAAAUACCCAUAGCUUUAUGUCCCGUUGACAAAAUCACCGGUGAUCUGUGUACCUUGGCGGUCAUAAUGCCGGCCGCGGUCUAUGGAGCGGUUGAAUUUGGAUACCUGCGUCCCAGAGCUCGGCGGAGGGAAAGGCAGGAAAUCGCAAAGAUGCAAAAGAGACUUACAAAACUGGUUGCGAAGCGGAAAGCAGAAAGCGUGCAGGCAGUUUCAAUGAUGAGGGAUCAGGUCUUGCGAAGGCAGGAUCGGGAAGCUGAUCGAGACGGGUUGGUGGUCGUUCACGCUGAAUAUGGAUGUCCGCCAACCUCUACCUUGAAGAAUAAGAAGCAACAAAACGGGACCACUGCAGUUGACGAAUGCUAUGAAGAAGGCAUGAUAGAUGUCACGAUUCCGGUCGCGGCACUGGUUGAUCAGGGACAGUUGGUUCUAUCGCGCCGAGUCAAUAAGUCACAUAUACCUGGGUUCUAUGAUCCAUUCCCAUUCCGUCCAAAACUGCUGCGGGUGCGGUAUCGGUUCGCUGGCAGGGAGCACCUGGUUGAGGCUUGGGACUCUGAAGGAAUAACUUGCCCGAUGAAGUCCCACUUGCUCUGAUUAUCAUAAUAGAGAGCUUUUCUUGCAGACAUCUGGGUGUCGUGUAUGUACAGAAGAGGAGAUAUACUUCUCGAAAGGAAUGAUUUUUGUGGGGGCUCAAUCCAUUUAUUAAAACACUCCCUAAAAAAACAAAACAACAUUUAUCAUUUAUUUUGCCCCUCGCAGGGAACGAAUUGAGAAGGAUUUCCAGCCAUCUCCCGCUCUCCCAUCCCGCCAAGACACUACCAGACGCAAUAACUAACAGAUUUUCUUUGUCUGCAAUUGUUUCUUAAUUGCUCACACGACGCCGACGU
rnacentral:sRNA from 1 species